rnacentral:lncRNA from 1 species
GUUUUAUAAUAAUGUAUUAUAUUGACAUGAUCCCUGUCUGAAUGUCUCCUGUGUUUUAUAAUAAUGUAUUUUAUUGACAUGAUCACUGUCUGAAUGUCUCCUGUGUUUUUUAGGGGGUCUUGUUAUCCUGCAGAGUCCUGCCCUUCCUGUGAUUGAGGGACAUCAUGUGACUCUGAGCUGCAGAUACAGGAAGGACAACGUAUCACUGGAAUCAUUGCCCUGUCCCACUGCUGGUUUCUACAAAGAUGGAUCCCUCAUUAAGAAUGGGACUACAGGGGAAAUGACCAUCCCUACAGUAAACCGAUCAGAUGAUGGACUCUGGAUGUGUAGAUGUGGAAACUAUGGAGAAUCACCAGAGAGCAGGAUGACUGUGACAGGGGCAUCUUCACCUCCAACCCCAUCUUCAUCUCCAACCCCAGUCCUAUUUCCAACCCCAGCAAUUCCAGUGUCCAUGUCUUUGUCCAGACUGUUGUGUAGUCUACUGGUGGUGUCUCCAUACCUGAUGGUGACCACUGUACUGAUGGUGAAAUACAGCAGGAACAGAAGAAGGGCUCAAGCUUGAAAGGAAGGUAGAAAGGAUGGAUGGGACUGGACAGGCGAGGUGAUCAGAUCUGUAACCUGAGACCUUUUUGUUCCCAUCUUACUUCACAGCUCAGUUUGAAGAAAAGAAGCUGUGAUAUCACAAUCUGUAACACUUUAUAAUAUGGUACCAUCUGUAAAGGGUUUAUGUUGGCUUUAUAAUGAUGCUAUUAAUGGUUUUAUACACCUAUAUUUUAUUUUGGUUAUUAAGUGUUUAUAAAGCAUUUAAGACCGCUUCUAUGAUGACCCUUAUAUACCUGAUCAUGAAUGUUCACAGUUGGACAAAUCAGUUUUUAUCCCACUUGUGGUUAGGAUGUUGGUGCUGUCCUAUGAACAGUGCAUGGGUUUUCAACUAAUGCAAGUCUGAAUAACGUGUCUUUGCUCAGAUUUACCAGAGACAUUAUGUAAUCAUAUUAUUUUACCUUUCAACAUAUGACAACCCCAUUUCCCAAAAACUUGGGAUGCUGUUGUAAAAACAGAAUGCAAUGAUGUGCAAAUCAUUUAAACUCUAUAUUCAAUAGAAAAUUGUACAAAGACCACAAUACUGGCAAUACUCUGCCCUCAUUCAGGGUGGUUGAGGUUGGUGGGUGUCCCUUUGGUUUAUGCUUGGAAAUGUGGGUGGAUUGAAAAACUUCCUGAAAGGGGCCAAAUUUCAGGAAAAAACCUAGAGAGGAACCAAGCUUGGUGGGGUGACCAGUCCUCUUCUGGCUGUGCCUGGUGAACAUCUUAAGAGUACAAGUUGUAAUAAUUAAUACGUUCAUUUGGGUUGUGUCCAGAGUCUAUAAAACCUAAUCCAGGACAGAAACAUGACCAGGUGGACUAGGACAGAUAUGUUGUCUUUGUAAGAUUUUCAGUUAAAUAUAGGGAUCAAUUAUAUGCACAUCAUUGCAUUUUGUUUUUAUUUGCAUUUCACACAGCGUCCAAGCCUUUUUGGAAACAAGGUUUUAGGUCAAACUAACAUCAUGUAUCAUUGUGAGGUUGUGUUACAGUCAAACUAGCAUAAUGUAUUAAUUGUGAGGUUGUGUUACAGUCAAACUAACAUCAGGUAUCACUAUGAGGUUGAGUUACAAUCAAAUUGCAUCAGAAAUGCAUAACAUCAUAAACACAAGUGGAUCUUAGUUCUUUUACACCCAAGCAUCUCAAAAUAUUCCAAUAAAACGUAAUAACCUCAAACUACAUCCAAGCUGCAUACAUUUUAAACAUACAGUGCCUUGCGAAAGUAUUCGGCCCCCUUGAACUUUUCGACCUUUUGCCACAUUUCAGGCUUCAAACAUAAAGAUAUAAAACUGUAAUUUUUGGUGAAGAAUCAACAACAAGUGGGACACAAUCAUGAAGUGGAACGAAAUGUAUUGGAUAUUUCAAACCUUUUUAACAAAUAAAAAACUGAAAAAUUGGGCAUGCA